rnacentral:rRNA from 1 species
AUUGAACGCUGGCGGCAGGCCUAGCACAUGCAAGUCGAGCGGAUGAAGGGAGCUUGCUCCUGGAUUCAGCGGCGGACGGGUGAGUAAUGCCUAGGAAUCUGCCUGGUAGUGGGGGAUAACGUCCGGAAACGGGCGCUAAUACCGCCUACGUCCUGAGGGAGAAAGUGGGGGAUCUUCGGACCUCACGCUAUCAGAUGAGCCUAGGUCGGAUUAGCUAGUUGGUGGGGUAAAGGCCUACCAAGGCGACGAUCCGUAACUGGUCUGAGAGGAUGAUCAGUCACACUGGAACUGAGACACGGUCCAGACUCCUACGGGAGGCAGCAGUGGGGAAUAUUGGACAAUGGGCGAAAGCCUGAUCCAGCCAUGCCGCGUGUGUGAAGAAGGUCUUCGGAUUGUAAAGCACUUUAAGUUGGGAGGAAGGGCAGUAAGUUAAUACCUUGCUGUUUUGACGUUACCAACAGAAUAAGCACCGGCUAACUUCGUG